ACACAAAGAGGGAUUACCACAGGAAAUGCAAAGAGGCUUGGAAGAUGAGCGUGCGUUGAGAUAGAAGCCGGAAGCCCACUUAGCUAACAGCCUCCACGGGACCUGGCACAGACACGGGCAAAUGACAGUUAAACACUACAGAGCCCCCUUGUGAAAGGGAGAAUUUGGCAUUCAUUCCCUCAGCCCCGAGUGCCUGGGAAUUCUGCAAACCGUUGCCUGUGGCAGUGACACUGAUUUGUAUCUGGUAUGAACUUCAAUGAAAACAUGAAUUGAACUCAUUACUUGAGGAAGGAAACUGCCAAAUUUAACAGGAUGAAAUUCCAGCAGGGUGUAAGGUUUUAUGGGGCUGCAGUGGAAUACCUCAUAGGAAGGUUUCCAGUUCAUAAAACACUUUGAAAACAUGCUCAGCCCUUUUAAGUUGAGGGGACAUUAUCAUUUCUAUCUAAGGCAUUUCUCUGCAAAUUGAACUCAAAUAUCCUUUGGGCUGACUACGCAGAGAACAGAAGAAAGGAGUGCAAGAAACUUGGACUAAAGAUUACCUCCCUGAAAGGUUCUCUUCAGGAGGAUUUAGGUGACAUCGGAAAACAGCACGUCAGUGGACUGCAGCCAGCUCCAUAUGGCUUGCCUUGGUUUUCACAGGAGUUCUAGAGCUGUGGGAAGGAGAACAUAGAAGCAGCAGGCCAUAGAGCUGCUAAGAAAAGACUUCAAUCAGAGUGAAGUCUGCCGAAGCCCCUGGGUGGCCCUGGAGCUCAGUGUGGGGUUACAGCUUCCUGCUAACGCACCUGGGAAAGCAAAGGAUGAUGCGCCAAGCCCUUGGUACCAUGUCACCCACUGUCGCUCCCCGUCUUCGUGGAGGAACGACACAGGACCCUGCGCUGUUCUUCUGUCUGCUCGGCCCUCCCCGGGUUUGCUGCUGGUUCUUCCCGGGUUGGCUACUGGUCCUUCCCGGGUUGGCUGCUGGUCCUUCCCGGGUUGGCUACCAUCCCUUCCACCUCUGUGGAAGGGCGGUUCCCCCUGGCCACUUUCCCCACUUCCGCAGGGGAGCGGCACACCGCCGGCCAGCUCUCUCGGGGGCUGCACAGGUGUUCCCCUUAGAUGUUCCCCUUAGAUGUUCCUGGUGCAUGUUGUCUCUCUCCUCCUUUAUAGUCCUCUUCCACCAAUCCCAACUCUGCUACCCACACGCCGAGUACACUGCUCUCCUCCAAUCAGGAGCAGGUCCCACAGUUUAUUGGUUGAACUGGAGGCAGCUGUGUAGAAGCUGUUUCCCUUCUCAGUGCCAUAUUGUGGGAAAGCAGAUGCAUAGAAUAAGUCUUAAUUCCAGUAACUUAGUCUAGUCCGAGUUGCUCCCAGUUGCUCCCCACAACCCACGUGGGAGACCAGGAUGGAGUUCUUUGUGGCCAUUUGGGGAGUGAACCAGGAGAUGAAAGAUUCUCUCUCCCUCUCUCCAUAUCUCUUUCUUCCUGUCUGGCUUUCAAAUAAAGAAGUACAUAAAUAAAUCUUUAAAAUAAAAGAAUAAACUGAUUAUAUUAAUAUCAA